UACAGAGGGGGCAAGCGUUGUUCGGAAUUACUGGGCGUAAAGGGCGCGUAGGCGGCCUUCUAAGUCGAACGUGAAAUCCCCGGGCUCAACCCGGGAACUGCGUCCGAUACUGGAAGGCUUGAAUCCGGGAGAGGGAUGUGGAAUUCCAGGUGUAGCGGUGAAAUGCGUAGAUAUCUGGAGGAACACCGGUGGCGAAGGCGGCUCACUGGCCCGAUACUGACGCUGAGGUGCGAAAGCGUGGGGAGCAAACAGG
rnacentral:rRNA from 1 species